UUCGCUGCUAUCUUGGCUGUCGUCUCUCAGGACUUCUUAGAAGUGUCCUCCGGUGGUUCUGCGUUGAGCUUCGGUCGUCUCACAACCUCUGUGCCAGUUUUAAUUUUGGGUGUCAAAUCUCUUCUGCUCUUUGCUAUUUUUAGAGGGCCUGAAUGCAGAAUAUGUGAAAGGAGAAAACAUGGAGCAAGUGGUGACCGAAGAGCCACAAGUGAAAUACUCUGUCCUAGAACCCCAGACAGCAGAAGCUCCGCCGCCUCAAGAAAACGCAAAAGUCUGAAGUCUCCGCCCUCCGGCUUACUUUAAAAAAAAAAAAAAAAAAAAGGAAACCAAUUGUUGGCGCAGAAAAAAAAACAAAACAAAAAACAAAACGAAACACAUCACACACACACGAGCGCACACACGCACACACACAUCCACACGCUCCUCUCACACAAUUUGUAAUUUAGCUUUGAAACGAAACGUUUUCAUUUGGAUUCCAAAGCGAUUUAAAUGUGCAUUUUCCCCCCUUUGACUAGGGCAGGCUUCUUAUUUGUGGUAGGCUUGUAGAACUGGUUGAAAAAAAGAAAAAAAAAGAAAAAAAGAAAUGAUGAUGA